rnacentral:rRNA from 1 species
GCGGCGUGCUUAACACAUGCAAGUCGAACGAGACUGUGGGGGCAACUCUGCAGUUUAGUGGCGGACGGGUGAGUAACACGUGGGUAACCUGCCCGGAAGUGGGGAAUACCUCGGGGAAACUCGAGCUAAUACCGCAUGACAUCUUUGGGACGAGAGUCCUGACGAUCAAAGCGGGGUCGCAAGACCUCGCGCUACCGGAUGGGCCCGCGCCCGAUUAGCUAGUUGGCGAGGUAAUGGCUCACCAAGGCUUCGAUCGGUAACCGGCCUGAGAGGGCGAUCGGUCACACCGGAACUGAGACACGGUCCGGACUCCUACGGGAGGCAGCAGUGGGGAAUCUUGCGCAAUGGGCGAAAGCCUGACGCAGCAACGCCGCGUGGAGGAUGAAGGCCCUUGGGUUGUAAACUCCUGUCGGUUGGGAAGAAAUCGUUCGGGGUUAAUACCCCCGGACGUUGACUGUACCAGCAAAGGAAGCCCCGGCUAACUCUGUGCCAGCAGCCGCGGUAAUACAGA